rnacentral:tRNA from 1 species
UUAUUAAUAUAGCUUUUAUAGUUUAAAUAAAACAUUGAUUUUGUAUAUCAAAAAUAGUAAAUAACUUAAUUGCUUC